rnacentral:tRNA from 1 species
GCCUGGAUGGCGGAACUGGUAGACGCAAGGGACUUAAAAUCCCUUGGGGCUGUGCCCCGUGCGGGUUCGACCCCCGCUCCAGGCACCA